AACGAACGCUGGCGGCAGGCCUAACACAUGCAAGUCGAACGCUUCAGCAAUGAAGAGUGGCAGACGGGUGAGUAACGCGUGGGAACCUUCCCAGUGGUACGGAAUAGCCCAGGGAAACUUGGGGUAAUACCGUAUAAGCCCUUCGGGGGAAAGAUUUAUCGCCAUUGGAUGGGCCCGCGUCGGAUUAGCUUGUUGGUGAGGUAAAAGCUCACCAAGGCGACGAUCCGUAGCUGGUCUGAGAGGAUGAUCAGCCACACUGGGACUGAGACACGGCCCAGACUCCUACGGGAGGCAGCAGUGGGGAAUAUUGGACAAUGGGCGCAAGCCUGAUCCAGCCAUGCCGCGUGAGUGACGAAGGCCUUAGGGUUGUAAAGCUCUUUUGGCGGGGACGAUAAUGACGGUACCCGCAGAAUAAGCUCCGGCUAACUUCAUG
rnacentral:rRNA from 1 species